UGACUCAUGUUGCUUCAGAAGAGGUUCAGGCUGUAUAUUAAGAAAAAAUUAUUCUCGUAUAGAAUAGUGAGGCAUUGGAACAGGCUGCCCAGGGAGGCGGUGGAGUCACUGUUCCUGGAGGUGUUCAAAAAACGUGUAGAUGCAGCACUGAGGGAAAUGGUUUAGUGGGUACGACGAUGAUGUGUUGAUGGUUGGACUAGCUGAGCUUAGUGAUCUUUCUCAGCCUUAAUGACUCUAUGAUUCCACGAAAUCUGUUCAAGAAGUGCUGAUGAAGGAAGCUGGAACUUUAUGAUCGUGUAUGAGACUCCUUUGCCUAGAGGAGAUAUGGAGUGAUGGAGAGUGCAGGGAUAAAUGGUGCUUAUCCAUCUCUGGUCUCAGUGUUUAGCCCCAGAGGGGACAGAGUUUGUAUCAAGAAUGACAAACUGGCUGCUUUCCAAGCCUUGAGGUGCUUUGUAGCCAUAAUACACUAUGCUCUGCUAGUUGUUAGUGAAUAUUUGUUCUGCACUGUUCAGUAAGGCUCUGUUUACCAGUGUCCAAACAGCAUCUUUAUUAUCCUUUUGCGAUGACAGAGUACGAAACCUGCAAGGACAAUUUACUUUGUUUUUGCAGAGGUAUUUAUAUUGAAUUUGAUUAGAAGAUUGGAGAACACUGCUCAAUUCUGUUAAACAGAUGCAGUUAGUAGUCCAAAUUCUGAAGAAUACUCUUCCUGAAGUUUGACAUCUGUCUACCCUUGACUGUCCCCUGACAUGCUGGAUGAAAAGAACAGUCAUUUGUCCUACGGAUAAUUAUUUCCUCAAGAUGCCCUAGGAGGUAUGACUUCUGGAGAUGAAAUUCUAUACCCAUAUUGACUGUAGGGAAUAUUUUAGUAUCUGCAGUCUUUCCGUCAUAUAGGAACAAUAAGUUUUGUCACUACUUUCAGAGGUACUGGCAUGACUACACCAAAGUACUGGAACUCAUACUUCCAAGGAGCAUAUUCACAGUGUAAUACAUGCUAUCUACAGCAUUAAAAUGCAUUAUAGCUUAUGUGUUCAAAACUUCACUUUAUUGCCAUAUUUUUCACUUAUAGAAAAAAAAAAAAAAAAAAAAAAGACAAUUAUGCUGUAUGGUCACCAAGCCAGGCAAUGUUGGAACUAGGCAUACUCAAGCUGAUGCAUCAUCUUGGACAUCUACAAUAAGACUAGAUGUUUACUACAGAAUAAGAUAACUACUACUUAUUAUGUCUGAAAUUCUAUUGUUUCCUUGUCAUGAGAUCAAUUUGUGAAACUUAAUGCAUUAAUUACAGUUAUACAUUCUUAGAAAAGUGCAUGUUAUUUUGCUUGUACAGUUCCAUUUCCAA
ensembl:lncRNA